rnacentral:rRNA from 1 species
GACGAACGCUGGCGGCGUGCCUAAUACAUGCAAGUAGAACGCUGAAGAGAGGAGCUUGCUCUUCUUGGAUGAGUUGCGAACGGGUGAGUAACGCGUAGGUAACCUGCCUUGUAGCGGGGGAUAACUAUUGGAAACGAUAGCUAAUACCGCAUAACAAUGGAUGACACAUGUCAUUUAUUGAAAGGGGCAAUUGCUCCACUACAAGAUGGACCUGCGUUGUAUUAGCUAGUAGGUGAGGUAAUGGCUCACCUAGGCGACGAUACAUAGCCGACCUGAGAGGGUGAUCGGGCCACACUGGGACUGAGACACGGCCCAGACUCCUACGGGAGGCAGCAAGUAGGGGAAUCUUUCGGGCAAAAUGGGGCAAACCCUGACCGAGCAAACGCCGCGUGAGUGAAG